GUUGAAACACCAGUUCCCGUACGAUCAUCGAAGUUAAGCAACGUCGAGCCUGAUCAGUACCUAGAUGGGUGACCGCUUGGGAAUGCCAGGUACAGUA
rnacentral:rRNA from 1 species